rnacentral:rRNA from 1 species
UCCGGUUGAUCCUGCCAGAGGCCGCUGCUAUCCGGCUGGGACUAAGCCAUGCUAGUCUAGGGGCUUGUACCCCUUCGGGGGUGCAAGCACCGGCGGACGGCUCAGUAACACGUGGACAACCUGCCCUCGGGUGGGGGAUAACCCCGGGAAACUGGGGCUAAUCCCCCAUAGGUGAUGGGUGCUGGAAUGCCCCAUCUCCGAAAGCGCUCAGCGCCCGAGGAUGGGUCUGCGGCGGAUUAGGUAGUUGGUGGGGUAACGGCCCACCAAGCCUAAGAUCCGUACGGGCUGUGGGAGCAGGAGCCCGGAGAUGGACCCUGAGACAAGGGUCCAGGCCCUACGGGGCGCAGCAGGCGCGAAACCUCCGCAAUGCGGGAAACCGCGACGGGGUUAGCCGGAGUGCCCGUGCAUUGCACGGGCUGUCGGGGUGCCUAAACAGCACCCCAUAGCAAGGGCCGGGCAAGGCCGGUGGCAGCCGCCGCGGUAAGACCGGCGGCCCGAGUGGCGGCCACUCUUAUUGGGCCUAAAGCGUCCGUAGCCGGCCCAGUAAGUCCCCCGGGAAAUCUGGUCGCUUAACGAUCAGACUUCCGGGGGAUACUGCUGGGCUAGGGACCGGGAGAGGCCGAGGGUAUUCCCGGGGUAGGGGUGAAAUCCUGU